UAACAGUAAUAUUCGUGGAUUUUUUUUUUUAUAUAAAUAUUUAUUUGUUUGGCCUUGUUUUGCAGGACGCUUACGCUCUGUGGGCGUGUGCCGCGGUCCUGCCUCACUGGACCAGGACGACGGCGAAACAGGGACGCCAUGGCCGUUACAGGGUGAACGCUUGCCGGUCAGUGUGUCUGGAGGCCGAACAAAAGUGUCCGUGGCUGCUUCCGGUGGCCGACGACGCCAACCCGUACGCCGGCGAGGCAUCGUUCACGUGUAUAGAUCCGGACAUAUGGUUCCAGACGUCGGCGACGGACGUGACCGAACAAUGCUGCUACGAACAUUGUGCGGAUGGUCUGUGCGUGCGGAACGCAUCGCUGUGCAACGGUGACAGUGGCGGCGACCCUCAGAGACCGGUGUGCGUGGAAAACGUUCCACUGGCGGUCGAGGCGUCUCUGUGCACCGAUUACAGUCUGACCGACACGUCGUCGGGCCGCGGUCGACCGGAGCUGCUGCCACUUCGGCUCCUGUUGUGGGCGGCAUCGGCGCUGGCGCUGGCAGCGGCGGCGGCCGUCACGUAGUGGCUGACGAGGCGACGACAGCGACGACGAAGACGACGAAGACGACGAAGACGGCCGACAGCGGGGUGAUCGGAGAUGGAAAAGCAAAAAACGCGAUUUCCGAAAAAUUAUAAAUCCAUUAUUAUUAUUAUUAUUAUUAUUAUUAUUAUUAUCAUAAAUUAUUGUUGUUAUUAUUGUUAUGUCACUUAUUAUUGUGAACGGACGAGGUUUUCAUCUCAAAAAAAAAAAAAGCGAAAUUGAAAAAUAAUAAUAGUAAUUUAUUAUUAUAGUAUGAGAAAAAAAUAAUAACGAAAAUAACGACGGACCGUCCGUCCGAUGAACGCGGACGCAACGGGCAAGAGCAGUACCUAUAAUGGCUCGUCAUCGUUGCUUAUGGGCGGCCGGUGAACCGGAGGGAGCUUGACACCUCUCUGACAGGGUCCUCGUUCCUGAUAAGACUAUUAUUAAAAUACAUAUACAAUACAUUAUAUUGUUAUAAAAAUGCACACACACACACACACACACAAACGAGAGGCGUAACUAGGGAACGUUGCAUGAGAGUGGAUUUGUCACCUCUUUCAACAAAUAAUUCAAACCUCGGCACCCAUUGAAAUCGUUGAAAAAUAUUACAUAAGCUAUCUGCAAAAAUUGUCAAAAAUUUAAUAUGAUAUCCCCAUUUUAACCCCAACUUUGCGAGAACGGUUGUGACGUACCUAGGCGGGAUGAGUGCAAAGGGACAUAUAUAUUACUUGUCACCCCCCUCAAAACAACAUUCAAACCUCAGCGUACAUUAAAAUUAUUGAAAAUAAAUAUUAUGAAGACUAUCGAAAGUAAUAAAAUAUAUAAUAUUUUAUACAUCUACGUUUUGGCCUAUUUUGAUUGUCUGGUUACACCCAUUUCCACACACACACCCACACACACACCUACACACACCCACACAUACACCCCACGAUCGUUGGCGCCGCAGGUUUUUUCAGACCGGGACCAAUAUAAUAUUAUUAUAAUAAAUAAACGAACGACGAACGCGCGCAAUGAUUAUAAUAUACUGACGUUUAUGAUAUUAUUAUAAUUAUUAUAAAAAACACCGCGCAUGACGUAACUUAUUAAAAUAUUAUUAUUAUAACACUUUCGACGCGGACAUUAUUUAAUUAAAUAUUAUUGUGUUGUUGUAGUGCUAAGAACGUUGUAACCCAUAUAAGCGUUACCGCUAUUAUACUAUUAGGUCGUAGUGAGUUGCGUGACUCAAUGUCCGAGUGAAUUGUAUAAAGUGAGAAACGGAUUCACGCAUUUGUUAAAUUUUUUUUCGUUCAGUUUUCUUCUCAGUUUUUUUUUUUUUUUUGAAUUUCAAUAUUUUGUACGGAGACAUUAAAAUAUAGUGGAUAAGGAAAUUCGGAAACGUCACGUGCACGACGAUCAAUUAUACGAUGAUAUGAUUAAGUUGAUUAAUUUAUAUCGCCAGCACUAUGGAUAGUUUUCAUCUUUAUUAAAGUUAUACUCGUCACUGACAUGAUUUUCAAAUUAAAAUUUUUAGUGCACGCCACCUGUCAAAUGUGUGGUUUUAUGGCAAUCUCACGAUAAAUUGCGCUUGAAUUACUCAAACGAUUACACACGACGAUCUAAUCACCAGAAAUAAUCAAUGAUUAUUUGGGGUUUUUUUUUGUACCCACAAUAUUAAAAUUUAAACAUUUUACAAAAUAAAUUAAACUUAAUUAUUUGUAAUAAGUAACAUUUUUCUUGUGUUCAAUUCCAUAAUUAUGCAAAAACGUAUGUAUUCAUCUUCUACAAGUUAUAAAAACGAAUUAAAUCUCCCCAGAGCGAUAGACGCAUGUCAGACAUUUUUUUAAAACUAUUUUAUUUUAGUAAGUGAUGUAGGUUGUAUUUUUUACUUUUUAAAUUACAUAAUAAUUGAACGUAUGUAUAAAAUUUAAUAGUAGGUAUGUCCCGUGACAUAUAGAUUCGUACGGGUGAUCUUUAGCAUAUUGUGAUUAUUAGCUUCUAUCGUUUUAAGUUUUUUGUUAAUUUAAUAUUUUCAAUAAAUUUGUUUUAUUAAUGUGUUAGAAUUUCUGGAGAUGAAUUAGUUAAAUUUUGUUUAAGACAAUAAUAUUAUUGUUGUUUCUGUUUACGCGUAGAAAAAAACUUAUGAAUAGGACCUUUCAAAAAAGAAAAAAAAAUGUUCUUGGGCCUGCAAAUUGGAAAGUGUUAAAAAUAUAUUGUUCCUGUUAGAAUUUAAAUUGAUAAAAUAUGCUAAAUUUGUUGUGGAAUUUACCGUGUUCGAAUAUAAUUAUAAAAUAAAAAUAUUGUAAUAAUUUAAAAUAAAUAUAGGGUUAAUUUUUAUAAUUUGACUGGUUUAGGUAAACAUGGUUGCAAAAAAUAUAUUAUCUAUAGAUGAUAAAUGUAUAUAUAUUUAUUAUUUAUAUAAAUAUAUAAAUAUAUCUAUAUAUUAUUUAUUUAAAUAAAUAUAUAUAUAAUACGAGUUAGCUUUAUUUGUAGGUAGUUCCGUCCAAAAAUAUUAUAUUGUAGUUUAUAAACAAUAUCUCGUACUUACGGCCUACAGAACGUUAAAUUUAAUUGAGCAAUUUAUUUUCAAAUCUUAUUUCAUGCCCUUCAAUUGUAAAUUUUUGUUUUUAUUUUAUUUUUUGUUUUUGUGCCAAUUUAAAUCUUACUUAAGUCGAUAUUAUUAGAAAAGUGCUCAAUAUAUAUUGUAAAAAUUGAUAGACUUAGAAAUGAAAAGAAAUGUCAAAUCUUAUUAAGUAUAUUAUUGUAGGUUUAAUAUUUUUAAAUAAAUUAUUUAAGAUUAUUUUUUAACUAUAUAAUAAAUCACGGAUUUCUCAAAGAAAUUAUAAAUUAUGGUAUAAAUCUAUCAGCCGGCUUGUCGGAAUGAACCCAUCAUUUUUUUAUUUCAAUAUCAGUUUUAUUGUACUUGCUCGAUGAAAGGAAACUAUUUGUCUUACAAUUAUGUGAUAUUUUUCGAAAAUACUAUUUGAAACUGUUAAUGUAAUUGUAACAAAAGAUUUAAUGAAAAAAAAAAAUACAGAUCAAUUUGAGCACGAUAUGUGAUACUCACUUUUGUUAAUCAAAAUAUGUAACUCCGUUCCCAUACUCGGUAAUAAUACAUUAAAACUUAUUCUUGUAUUGUGUGCAAUUUUAAUGUGCGAGUGAAUUGUAGGUAUUAAAAUGUAUUUCUGUAUAAAGAAAAAAAUCAAAAAUACUUUGAGCAAACCUACAAUACUGAUUAAAAAAAUGAUGUGGGGCAAAUAUGUGGCUUACACAUUAUACUAAUUUUUAAUAUACAUCAAACUUACAAAAGUGGUACAAAAUUUUUCAUUUUGAGAAGACCGUCCUUAUUACUUACAAUUAUGUACAUAGCCAUACAACUAAAUAUAAUAUUAAUUAAUUUUCUACUCUAUAUACUAUUUCUGUUCAUAUAAUGAAAAAAAAAAAUUCAAAAUUAUUUUAUAGCUUUGUUAGGUACGUAUAAUAAUAAUUACUAAUGAGUUUAUAUACAAUUAACUGAGUGCUCUGUAGAUGAAAGUUUUAAGGUAUUUUUACACCACUUGAGUAGAGACCAAGGGGCAAGGGCUAACCACUCCAUAGCGGUCGUUUGAUUAAUAUAAUAAUAAUGAAAAACAUAGAUAACGAUAAUAAUAUAAUAUGAUUGAUUAGACUAUUACAAAAUUAAGGUUAUAUUUACCUCUAUUAAUAAUGUCAUUAUACUGAAUAUAUUAUAAUUAUAAAUAUAAACAAACAUGUAGUCAAUUGUAAAAAUAAUUAUAUAUGAUUAUAUUAAGUAUUAUAAAUAAUAAAAUAUAAAAACUGUUGGUUAAUUAUUAGUUUUGUAAAACAUUUGUUACGUUCAGACGUAUAUUAUAAGAAUUUUAAAAUAAUAAUAAGAAUGCAAAAUAAUAUUACGAGAACAGAAAAACAUUAUGUUGUGGAAUAAAACGUUUGUUUUAUAGGAAAUAUAUAUAAUUUAAAAUACAUGAUAUUGUAUAUUUGUUUGU
rnacentral:lncRNA from 1 species